AACUACGUUUGUUCUGGGUAUAAGCUUUCAUGUGCAUGCACACUUCUUCAUAUAUACACUUCUUUAGGUAUACACUUCUUUAGGUAUACACUUCUUCAGAUACACGUUUCUGAAGAAGUGUGCAUGCACAUGAAAGCUUAUACCCAGAACAAACUUAGCUAG
rnacentral:miRNA from 1 species